CUUACUCAUUAAGACACAUACAUUAUCUCUCUCUAAUCUCUCAUUCUCUCUCAUCUCUACAUUAUCAAUCUCUCUCAAUUCCUACUCUAAGUUCUCGAUGGCUUCCAAAUUACCAAAUAAAUUCCAAAAUUUCAAUCAUCAAGACUCGGCUGUUUCCAGAUCUCCAAGAUCAGUCCCAAGUUUUCCAGUUUCGACUACUUCCAAGAUUCAAAAUCAAGAAGAUUCCAACAACACCAAAUCAAGGUUACUCCAAAACCUCCCCACAUCAUUUGUUAAUUCUGCAUCAAACAAAAAAAAAAAAAAAGGGAAGAAGAAAGAAACAGCAACGAACACACACACUCAUCAUCACUUCACUUUCUACCUAUUACAAUUACAAGAUUUGAUUUUGAGAAUAGACAAGAAUAGAAAGAACAAAUUUUGAAAACCUAAGUGUUCUGUGUAAACUGAAAAUUUGGACCCUUUGUGUCUCUGUGUGUGUGUGACCGGGGACGGAGGGAGGAGUGAGAGCAGCCGGCGGCUGCUCACGGCCGGAGACGGCGCGGCGGCAAGCCACCGCCUUUUUCCUUUUCUGUCUGAAACGACGGAGAGAGAGAGAUAGAUUAAGUUUUAAAAAAAAAGGGAAGAGAGAGAGAGAAGGGAGGACUCAUCUUCUCCGGUGACGACGACGCGGCGGCAUCGGCAGCGGCGACACGGCGGCGGGAGCAACGGGCUGUUCCUGAUCGGCCGGAAAAGAGGAAAAGAAGGGGGGGCAAUUUCAGAUCUGGGUUUAAAAAUAGAAAAGAGAGGAAAAGGGGGAAGAAUUGGAACCUACCUUUCCGGCGAGGCAAGGCCCGGCCUCCACCGCGACUCCAGCCAGACGGACGACGGAGGAGGCGACCAGACGGCGGCCGUGCGCUCCCUAUGGCGGAGAGGGCAGACGCCCUGUUCCAGACGAGGGGAUGGAGAGGAAGCUACUCCACGCCAGCUUUAAGAACGUUUAAGGUUGAGCAGGCGAUGGAAUGGUUUGGUGUUGAGCGGGAAUUUUUUUGAUGGAUACGUAAUGAAACCUUGAGUAUGCAUCUCCAUAUGCAUAACUCACACGUUUUUCCGCUGCAAACACUCUGAAUUUGUUAUCGUAUUAUGGAACUUACUCUUUCACUUUGUUUAACUUUCCCUUGGGCCUGGUCGUUAUGGCAUAAUCGUUUGUAAAAUAUCCAAGCAGUUGUUUAUAUAUCACUAGUUGUUGUUAUUAAUGUUGGUUACUUAGCAAA